rnacentral:rRNA from 1 species
GUAGGUGGCAAGCGUUGUCCGGAAGUUAUUGGGCGUAAAGCGCGCGCAGGUGGUUCUUUAAGUCUGAUGUGAAAGACCCCCGGGCUCAACCGGGGAGGGUCAUUGGAAACUGGGGAACUUGAGUGCAGGAGAGGAAAGUGGAAUUCCACGUGUAGCGGUGAAAUGCGUAGAUAUGUGGAGGAACACCAGUGGCGAAGGCGACUUUCUGGCCUGUAACUGACACUGAGGCGCGAAAGCGUGGGGAGCAAACAGGAUUAGAUACCCUGGUAGUCCACGCCGUAAACGAUGAGUGCUAAGUGUUGGGGGGGUUUCCGCCCCUCAGUGCUGCAGCUAACGCAUUAAGCACUCCGCCUGGGGAGUACGGUCGCAAAGACUG